GGAGUAUUUGGGUGAGCUAAAUAGCAAAGAUUUGGAUGUUUUAGAGUAGUUAAGGACAUGUGAAUAGCAAGAGCACAAGUGGUGGGAUCUUGAAGGUGACUCUUGAAACUAGGA